CUGAGACUAAGACCGAGCCUGAAGUCCGGAAUUCCUCCCCCCAUAAACUUAUAAUUACUCAGUCAUUCAAGGCGAACAAGUUUCGAAGGCUUCGCCAACAAACAAAAAAAAAACAUGAAAGUUUUCCGCUUGUAAGCCGACUAGAAAGUACUUAUUAUGUGCUUCAAAAUCAUUUCAGGCUAAAAAUACAAAUCAAUGGGAUGCCUUGGAAACUGCGUCAGAAGACUCUUCGACUGUUCCUGCUGCAAGUUCUCAAAAAUAAUUAUCAAGAACUCACACAAAAACUGAAUACUGCUUGGGAUUGGCAAAAAUGCAUAGCCGCAUUUGCUAUUUAUUUUGUUUAUAAUUUGUUCAGCUGAUUCUUCCUCCUUGUUGUGGGACACCGUGCACCGACUGGCGCUCACUCCAGAUUGUUGCUUAUUAGUGCUAAGAAGUAAAGAAUUUUACUAUUUCUAAGCGAGUUACACUAUCCGAUCAGUAUAAAACCUAACAUUUAAUUGUUAUACUUAUUCCUUUGGAAAAGACACGCGCCGGAAAGCGAGACUUGAUCGUUUUCUGCUGCAAUAUUUU